UAGCAUAAUAAAUUGUUUUUUAAUUGGAAACUGGAAUGAAGGGCUAAACGAUUUUUGAAUUUGUUAGUCUUAAUUUAUGAAUUUUUAUUUUAAGUAAAAAUACUUAUAUUAAAUAGAGGGACGAUAAGACCCUAGAAGCUUUAGUUUAUUGGAGCAUAAAAUAAUUAUAUUUAUAGUUUAUGCUGUAUAAAACUUUGGUUGGGGAAAUAAUAAUUUUGUUAAUAAUUAUCAUUAAGAGAAUUAAAUUAUUUAUAGAUCUUUAAGAUAAAAAUGAAUAGUAUUAGUUACUCUAGGGAUAACAGCGUAAUAUUUUUGGAUAGACCUUAUACAUAGAAUUGAUUACGACCUCGAUGUUGAAUUAAAAUAUCUUUAUAGAGCAGAAAUUAUAAAAGAAGGUUUGUUCAACCUUUAAUAUUUU
rnacentral:rRNA from 1 species